UAAUAGCCAACAGGAAGCUACAUUUCCAGUCAAGUUCAGUCAAUACACAGAAGUGCUAAUGAUAAGUCGUUUAGUGGACAGUGGGAGAGGUAGCACAUCUGUGUAGCUGAGGUAAAGCUGUGUUAACUAUAAACUAUAAUUUCAAAAAUGACAGUUAAGCGUUUCAGGUGAGAAAAUACCGUGAUUCCCGUGUUGUUUCUGAACAAACUAGCUAGUGCGUAGUUGCUAAUGCUAACGACGCAAAGACAAGCUAGCUAGUGAGUAGUCGCUAAUGCUAACGGCGCAAAGAGUGAUGCUGAGGUGUGUUUCACAUGAAAAAACCUUAAAUGAAGCCAAAGGGAGCAACAGAAGACUCAACUUAACUUCUGAGUGUCAGUCCAACACAGAGAAGGGGCUGAAUUAAAACAGUCAUUGAGUGUUUGGUUCAAGGACAAACUGUGCAUUUCACCAUGGAGGAAGGACAAGCUUUAUCAAGACAAAUGAUUCCUCUGGAUCCACCCCCCUCCAGGAUCCCAGAUUCUCUCCAUCAUCUCCUCCAACCGUGAGGUCUAACCGGCAGGGCAGGGGCGUGUGGGCGGACAUGCUGGGCGCUGGCAGCGUGCUCCGUCUGCUAGUG